rnacentral:rRNA from 1 species
UUGGAAUUUUGGACAAUGGGCGAAAGCCUGAUCCAGCGACGCCGCGUGCACGAUGAAGGCCUUCGGGUCGUAAAGUGCUUUUGGUGGGGAAAAAUUUUGAUUGUACCCACAGAAUAAGAGGUUGCUAACUCUGUGCCAGCAGCAGCGGUAAUACAGAGACCUCAAGCGUUAUCCGGAAUCAUUGGGCGUAAAGCGUUCCGAUAGGUUGUUUUGAAAGUUUUGGGUAAAAGCCAGAAGCUUAACUUCUGAGUUUGCUCAAAAUACUGCAAGACUAGAGGGGCAAAGAGGUGCUUGGAACGAAUGGUGUAGUAGUGAAAUGCGUUGAUAUCAUUCGGAACACCGAAAGCGAAGGCAGAGCACUGGGUGCCACCUGACACUGCUAGGACGAAAGCGUGGGGAGCGAAUGGGAUUAGAUACCCCAGUAGUCCACGCUGUAAACGAUGAAUACUAGGCAUGCGCGAGUAUCGACCCUCGUGCGAGCCGUAGCUAACGCGUUAAGUAUUCCGCCUGGGGAGUACGGUCGCAAGACUA